rnacentral:rRNA from 2 species
UAGGGAAUCUUCCGCAAUGGGCGAAAGCUUGACGGAGCAACGCCGCGUGAGUGAUGAAGGUCUUCGGAUCGUAAAACUCUGUUAUUAGGGAAGAACAAAUGUGUAAGUAACUAUGCACGUCUUGACGGUACCUAAUCAGAAAGCCACGGCUAACUACGUGCCAGCAGCCGCGGUAAUACGUAGGUGGCAAGCGUUAUCCGGAAUUAUUGGGCGUAAAGCGCGCGUAGGCGGUUUUUUAAGUCUGAUGUGAAAGCCCACGGCUCAACCGUGGAGGGUCAUUUGAAACUGGAAAACUUGAGUGCAGAAGAGGAAAGUGGAAUUCCAUGUGUAGCGGUGAAAUGCGCAGAGAUAUGGAGGAACACCAGUGGCGAAGGCGACUUUCUGGUCUGUAACUGACGCUGAUGUGCGAAAGCGUGGGGAUCAAACAGG